GCGUAGGCGGCCUUCUGGACUGACACUGACCUGAGGUGCGAAAGCGUGGGUAGCAAACAGGAUUAGAUACCCUGGUAGUCCACGCCGUAAACGAUGUCUACCAGCCGUUGGGUGCCUAGCGCACUUUGUGGCGAAGUUAACGCGAUAAGUCGACCGCCUGGGGAGUACGGCCGCAAGGUUAAAACUCAAAUGAAUUGACGGGGGCCCGCACAAGCGGUGGAACAUGUGGUUUAAUUCGAUGCAACGCGAAAAACCUUACCUACUCUUGACAUCCUGCGAACUUGGGAGAGAUUACUUGGUGCCUUCGGGAACGCAGAGACAGGUGCUGCAUGGCUGUCGUCAGCUCGUGUUGUGAAAUGUUGGGUUAAGUCCCGUAACGAGCGCAACCCUUGUCCUUAUUUGCCAGCGCGUAAUGGCGGGAACUCUAAGGAGACUGCCGUGUGACAAACCGGAGGAAUGUGGGAUACGACGUCAAGUCAUCAUGGCCCUUACGAGUAGGGCUACACACGUGCUACAAUGGUCGGUACAAAGGGUUGCCAACUCGCG
rnacentral:rRNA from 1 species